rnacentral:rRNA from 1 species
GUGCUACAAUGGUCGGUACAAAGGGUUGCCAAGCCGCGAGGUGGAGCUAAUCCCAUAAAACCGAUCGUAGUCCGGAUCGCAGUCUGCAACUCGACUGCGUGAAGCUGGAAUCGCUAGUAAUCGCGCAUCAGCCAUGGCGCGGUGAAUACGUUCCCGGGCCUUGUACACACCGCCCGUCAAGCCAUGGAAGCUGGGGGUGCCUGAAGUCGGUAACCGCAAGGAGCUGCCUAGGGUAA